rnacentral:tRNA from 1 species
CAUGGCAUAGCUUACUAAAGCACCUCGCUUACACCGAGAAGACCUCUGCUAACCAGAUUACCAUGA